GGCCCGAUUCUGGGCUCAGAUUGAACGCUGGCGGGAUGCUUUACACAUGCAAGUCGAACGGCAGCACGGACUUCGGUCUGGUGGCGAGUGGCGAACGGUGAGUAAUGCAUUUGAACGUGCCUAGUAGCGGGGAUAACUACGCGAAAGUGUAGCCAAUACCGCGUUGCCCUUCGGGGGAAAGCGGGACCUUCGGGCCUCAGACCACAGGAGUGGUCGAUAUCGGAUUAGCUAGUUGGUGGGGUAACGGCUCGCUAAGGCGACGAUCCUGCUGGUUUGAGGAGGACGAAUUUCGGCCACACUGGGACUGAGACACGGCCCAGACUCCUACGGGAGGCAGCAGUGGGGAAUUUUGGACAAUGGGGAAACCCUGAUCCAGCCAUCCGGUACAUGAAGGCCUGGGCUGUGCAAAGCACUUUUGGCAGGAAAGAAACGGUACGGACACACUCCUCGUGCACAACUGACGGUACCCGCAAGAAUAAGCACCGGCUAACUACGUGCUGUAGCCGCGGUAAUACGUAGGGUGCAGGCGUUAAUCGGAAUUACUGGGCGUAAAAGCGCAGGCGGUUCGGAAAGAAAGAUGUAAACCUGAGCUUAACCUUUGAAACUGCAUUUAACGUCACCGAGCUAGAGUAAAGCCGAGGAGGCGGAAUCGCGUGUAGCAGAAUGCGUAGAUAUGCGGAGGAACACCGAUGGCGAAGGCAGCCUCCCGGGAUAACACUGACGCUCAUGCACGAAAGCGUGGGGAGCAAAACAGGAUUAGAUACCCUGGUAGUCCACGCCCUAAACGAUGUCAACUAGCUGUUGGGGCCUCGGGCCUUUCGGCAGCGCAGCUGACCUGCGUGAAGUUGACCUCCGGCCUGUGGGGUGAGUACGGUCGUAAGAUUAAAACUCAAAGGAAUUGAGGGGGACCCGCACAAGGGCGUGGAUGAUGUGGAUGAAUUCGAUGCAACGCGAAAAACCUGCCUACCCUUGACAUGUCUGGAAUCCCGAAGAGAUUUGGAGUGCUCGCAAGAGAACCGAACACAGGUGCUGCAUGGCUGUCAGCUCGUGUCGUGAGAUGGUUGAGUCCCGCAACGAGCGCAACCUUUGUCAGCUAUUGCUACGAAAGUAAUUUAAUGACUGCCGGUGACAAACCGGAGGAAGGGGGAUGACGUCAAGUCCUCGCGGCCCUUAUGGGUAGGGCUUCAUCGUCAUACAAUGGUCGUGACAGAGGGUCACCAACCCGCGAGGGGGAGCUAAUCCAGAAACCCGAUCGUAGGUCCGGAUUCUGGUUCGCAACCCGACUGCGUGAAGUCGGAAUCGCUAGUAAUCGCGGAUCAGCAUGUCGCGGUGAAAUACCUGGCUUGUACACACCGCCCGUCACACCAUGGGAGUGGGUUUUACCAGAAGUGAAGCGCUAGCCUAACCGUGUAAAGGGAGGGCGAUUACCACGGUAGGAUUCAGGACUGGGGCAGUCGUAACAAGGUAG
rnacentral:rRNA from 1 species